rnacentral:rRNA from 1 species
AUUGAACGCUGGCGGCAGGCCUAACACAUGCAAGUCGAACGAGUGGCGGACGGGUGAGUAAUGUCUGGGAAACUGCCCGAUGGAGGGGGAUAACUACUGGAAACGGUAGCUAAUACCGCAUACCAUCGGAUGUGCCACGAUGGGCUUAGCUAGUAGGUGGGGUACCGGCUCACCUAGGCGAAGAUCCCUAGCUGGUCUGUGAGGAGGACCAGCAACGCUGGAACUGUAGCAAGGUCCAGACUCCGACGGGAGGAAGACGUGGGGAAUAUGGCACAAUGGGCGCAAGCCUGAUGCAGCCAUGCCGGGUGUAUGAAGAGGGCUUUCGGGUGGUAAAGUACUUUCAGCGAGGAGGCGUUACUCGCAGAAGAAGCACCGGGUAACUCCGUGCCAGCAGCCGCGGUAAUUC